UGCCUCGUGGUGUAACGGUAGCACAAGAGAUUUUGAUUCUCUUUGUUCAGGUUCGAAUCCUGGCGAGGUAGCCA
rnacentral:tRNA from 1 species